GUGCUCGCUUUGGCAGCACAUAUACUAAAAUUGGAAAAAUACAGAGAAGAUUAGCAUGGCCCCUGCACAAGGAUGACAUGCAAAUUUGUGAAGCAUUCCAUAUUUUU
ensembl:snRNA U6 U6 spliceosomal RNA